AUGGCUCUGAAUAUUCCCACUAAUGAAGACUGGCUUUUGGUUGGAGACUUUAAUUUUAUCCGAAGCCCAGAGAAUCGCAACAAGCCUGGUGGCAAUUACGGCGAUAUGAUUACUUUUAAUGACUUCAUCCGAGCACAAGCCUUAAUUGAACUGCCCAUUAAAGGUCGUGAAUACACCUGGAGUAACAUGCAAACUGAUCCAUUACUCGAGCAAAUUGAUUGGUUUUUCACUAGUAAUAAUUGGACGAGCUCCUACCCCAACACUGUGGUUAAACCCCUCGGGCGACCUGUUUCAGAUCACAUCCCAUGUGUGAUUACUAUUGAAACUUCCAUUCCACGAUCAAAGUUAUUCAGGGCCCUCUUGGAAAUUGAUGGGUUGGAGAAUAAAAGACAGCUAUCCACACCGAAGCUAAUUUCAGGAAAAUACUAA
rnacentral:rRNA from 1 species